rnacentral:rRNA from 1 species
AUACGCGUGGAACCUUACCCAGGCUUGACGUGUCUAGGAAUUCCUGUGAAAGCAGGAAGUGCCCUUCGGGGAACCUUAACGCAGGUGCUGCAUGGCCGUCG